rnacentral:rRNA from 1 species
GAUGAACGCUAGCGGCAGGCCUAACACAUGCAAGUCGAGGGGCAGCACAGAAACAGCAAUGUUUUGGUGGCGACCGGCGGACGGGUGCGUAACGCGUAUGCAACCUACCUUUAACAGGGGGAUAACGGAGAGAAAUUUCCACUAAUACCCCAUAACAUCGAUCAAGGCAUCUUGAUUGGUUGAAAACUCCGGUGGUUAAAGAUGGGCAUGCGUUGUAUUAGGUAGUUGGUGAGGUAAUGGCUCACCAAGCCUACGAUACAUAGGGGGACUGAGAGGUUGGCCCCCCACACUGGUACUGAGACACGGGCCAGACUCCUACGGGAGGCAGCAGUGAGGAAUAUUGGUCAAUGGGGGCAACCCUGAACCAGCCAUGCCGCGUGCAGGAAGACGGCUCUAUGAGUUGUAAACUGCUUUUAAACAGGGAUAAAGCACAGUGUGUAUACUGUGUUGAAGGUACUGCAAGAAUAAGGAUCGGCUAACUCCGUGCCAGCCGCCGCCGUAA